rnacentral:rRNA from 1 species
UACCAGCACCCCGAGUGGUCGGGACGUUUAUUGGGCCUAAAGCAUCCGUAGCCGGUUCUACAAGUCUUCCGUUAAAUCCAACUGCUUAACAGGUGGGCUGCGGAAGAUACUAUAGAGCUAGGAGGCGGGAGAGGCAAGCGGUACUCGAUGGGUAGGGGUAAAAUCCGUUGAUCCAUUGAAGACCACCAGUGGCGAAGGCGGCUUGCCAGAACGCGCUCGACGGUGAGGGAUGAAAGCGUGGGGAGCAAACCGG